rnacentral:rRNA from 1 species
UGGGGAAUAUUGGACAAUGGGGGCAACCCUGAUCCAGCAAUGCCGCGUGAGUGAAGAAGGCCUUCGGGUUGUAAAGCUCUUUUGUCCGGGAAGAAAUCCCAUCUGUUAAUACCGGGUGGGGAUGACGGUACUGGAAGAAUAAGCACCGGCUAACUAUGUGCCAGCAGCCGCGGUAAUACGGGGGGAGCAAGCGUUGUUCGGAUUUACUGGGCGUAAAGGGCGCGUAGGCGGCCACCGCAAGUCGACUGUGAAAUCUCUGGGCUUAACCCAGAACGGUCAGCCGAUACUGCGGGGCUAGAGUGCAGAAGGGGCAACUGGAAUUCUCGGUGUAGCGGUGAAAUGCGUAGAUAUCGAGAGGAACACCUGCGGCGAAGGCGGGUUGCUGGGCUGACACUGACGCUGAGGCGCGAAAGCUAGGGGAGCGAA